rnacentral:SRP_RNA from 1 species
GCCAGGUGUGGUGGCGCACACCUGUAGUCCUAGCUACUUGGGAGGCUGAAGCAGGAGGAUUGCUUGAGCCCAGGAGGUCGAGGCUGCAGUGAGCUAUGAUUGCAUCACUGCACUCCAGCCUGGGCAAUAGAGUAAGACCCUGUCUCAA